GACGAACGCUGGCGGCGUGCCUAAUACAUGCAAGUCGAGCGAAGUUUUUCUGGUGCUUGCACCGGAAAAACUUAGCGGCGCACGGGUGAGUAACACGUAAAGAACCUGCCUCAUAGACUGGGACAACUAUUGGAAACGAUAGCUAAUACCGGAUAACAGCAUUAACUGCAUGGUUGAUGUUUAAAAGUUGGUUUUGCUAACACUAUGAGAUGGCUUUGCGGUGCAUUAGCUAGUUGGUGGGGUAAAGGCCUACCAAGGCGACGAUGCAUAGCCGACCUGAGAGGGUGAUCGGCCACACUGGGACUGAGACACGGCCCAGACUCCUACGGGAGGCAGCAGUAGGGAAUCUUCCGCAAUGGGCGAAAGCCUGACGGAGCAACGCCGCGUGAGUGAAGAAGGAUUUCGGUUCGUAAAGCUCUGUUGUUAGGGAAGAAUGAUUGUGUAGUAACUAUACACAGUAGAGACGGUACCUAACCAGAAAGCCACGGCUAACUACGUG
rnacentral:rRNA from 1 species